rfam:Myotis davidii contig64760, whole genome shotgun sequence.
GGGAGUUUCUGGUGAUGCACCCUGAGAUCAGGCUCCCUCCUCUCUCGUUCGGGGGUGCGUCACCCGAGAACUGCU